CCUACGGGUGGCAGCAGUGAGGAAUAUUGGUCAAUGGGCGAAAGUCUGAACCAGCCAAGUCGCGUGAGGGAUGACUGCCCUAUGGGUUGUAAACUUCUUUUAUAUGGGAAUAAAAUGUUCCACGUGUGGGCUUUUGUAUGUACCAUGUGGAUAAGGCUCGGCUAACUCCGUGCCGGCAGCCGGGGUAAUACGGAGGAACCGGGCGUUAUCCGGAUUUAGUGGGUUUAAAGGGAGCGUAGGGGGAUUGUUAAGUCAGUCGGGAAAGUUGCGGGCUUAACCGUAAAAUUGCAGUUGAAACUGGAAGUCUUGAGUAAAGUAGAGGUAGGCGGAAUUCGUGGUGUAGCGGUGAAAUGCUUAGAUAUCACGAAGAACUCCGAUUGCGAAGGCAGCUCACUGGACUGCAACUGACACUGAGGCACGAAAGUGUGGGUAUCAAACAGGAUUAGAUACCCGAGUAGUC
rnacentral:rRNA from 1 species